rnacentral:tRNA from 1 species
UCCCUGGUGGUCCAGUGGUUAGGACUCUGCACUUCCACCGCAGGGGGCUCAGGUUCUAUCCUUGGUCAUGGAA